GUGAACUGCGGCCAGAACACAGAUCUUGGUCAAGCAGGCUUCAGGCCAGAAGCCAGUUGUCAUUUUUUUUUUCUAGCUGCCAGUUAGAAGCGGGAAUGAACUGUUUACCUGAGAAGGUCUCCAUUGACUAGGAAAAGGGACUCCCACUUCAAUCAUCAGCCACAAUCCUGGGCCACCUUUGACUCGCCUGACUUAGGGAGUAUGUCCUCCUUAGCAUGUGUCAGGAAACAACAGCACUUUUUACAAUGCUGGGUAUGGCUAAUUGGUUCAAGUUGAGAAGCUAAGAAAAGAGUCUGCUUCAGCGGCCAGGCACUGAAUCACAUCUUGAGACCUCACUCCUGCCAGAAAAUGUGGAUGUAAAGAAAAAAAAUGACUGGGUGCAAUGGCUCACACCUGUAAUCCCAGCACUUUGGAAGGCCGAGGCGGGUGGAUCACCUGAGGUCAGGAGUUCGAGACCAACCUGACCAACAUGGUGAAACUCCGUCUCUAUUAAAAAUACAAAAAUUACCUGGGCGUGGUGGGGGGUGCCUGUAAUCCCACCUACUCGGGAGGCUGAGGCAUGAGAAUCACUUGAACUCUGGAGGCGGAGGUUGUAGUGAGCUGAGAUCAUGCCACUGCACUCCAGCCUGGGUGAUAGAGUGAGACUCUGUCUCAAAAAAAAAAAAAAAAAAAUUUGGUCUUAUCUUUCUUUAGUUGAAAGUGAAAUGUUACCUCUCUGAACAAAUGUUUUCCCAAGUGAAAUAAAUACAGGAAGAAUAAAAUCUGCUGAUAAUGAAAAAAAGGUGGAAGUCAUUCUAAGGAGCGGGCAGAAUAAAUGUGCAUCUUACUUCGACA